CACAUCAUGGAAGUUGCUUGUAGCCGAAGCCGGCGCGCCAACCCGCAAGGGAGGCAGUCGAUUACGCUAUGAGACAGUAACUGGGAUG
rnacentral:rRNA from 1 species